rnacentral:rRNA from 1 species
AGCGAACGCUGGCGGCAGGCUUAACACAUGCAAGUCGAGCGGGCGUAGCAAUACGUCAGCGGCAGACGGGUGAGUAACGCGUGGGAACGUACCUUUUGGUUCGGAACAACACAGGGAAACCUGUGCUAAUACAGGAUAAGCACUUACGGGGAAAGAUUUAUCGCCGAAAGAUCGGCCCGCGUCUGAUUAGCUAGUUGGUAGGGUAAUGGCCUACCAAGGCGACGAUCAGUAGCUGGUCUGAGAGGAUGAUCAGCCACAUUGGGACUGAAACACGGCCCAAACUCCUACGGGAGGCAGCAGUGAGGAAUAUUGGACAAUAGGGGCAAGCCUGAGCCAGCCAUGCCGCGUGAGUUAUGAAGGCCCUAGGGUUGUAAAGCUCUUUUGUUCGGGAAGAUAAUGACGGUACCGCAAGAAUAAGCCCCGGCUAACUUCGUGCCAGCCGCCGCCGUAA